CAGCCGCCACGGUAAUACAGAGGGUGCGAGCGUUAAUCGGAUUUACUGGGCGUAAAGCGUGCGUAGGCGGCUUCUUAAGUCGGAUGUGAAAUCCCUGAGCUUAACUUAGGAAUUGCAUUCGAUACUGGGAAGCUAGAGUAUGGGAGAGGAUGGUAGAAUUCCAGGUGUAGCGGUGAAAUGCGUAGAGAUCUGGAGGAAUACCGAUGGCGAAGGCAGCCAUCUGGCCUAAUACUGACGCUGAGGUACGAAAGCAUGGGGAGCAAACAGGAUUAGAUACCCCGUAGUCCCUGUCUCUUAUACA
rnacentral:rRNA from 1 species